rnacentral:rRNA from 1 species
CCUCGGAUCAGGUAGGGAUACCCGCUGAACUUAAGCAUAUCAAUAAGCGGAGGAAAAGAAACCAACCGGGAUUGCCUCAGUAACGGCGAGUGAAGCGGCAAGAGCUCAAAUUUGAAAGCUGGCCCCUUCGGGGUCCGCAUUGUAAUUUGCAGAGGAUGCUUCGGGUGCAGCCCCCGUCUAAGUGCCCUGGAACGGGCCGUCGUAGAGGGUGAGAAUCCCGUAUGGGGCGGGGUGUCUGCGUCCGUGUGAAGCUCCUUCGACGAGUCGAGUUGUUUGGGAAUGCAGCUCUAAAUGGGUGGUAAAUUUCAUCUAAAGCUAAAUACUGGCCGGAGACCGAUAGCGCACAAGUAGAGUGAUCGAAAGAUGAAAAGCACUUUGAAAAGAGAGUUAAAUAGCACGUGAAAUUGUUGAAAGGGAAGCGCUUGCAACCAGACUCGCCUCCGGGGUUCAGCCGGCCUUCGGGCCGGUGUACUUCCCCGGGGGCGGGCCAGCGUCGGUUUGGGCGGCCGGUCAAAGGCCUCCGGAAUGUAGCGCCCUUCGGGGCGCCUUAUAGCCGGGGGUGCAAUGCGGCCAGCCUGGACCGAGGAACGCGCUUCGGCACGGACGCUGGCAUAAUGGUUGUAAACGACC